AUGGCUGACAACUCUCAGAAGAUGAGCUACCACGCUGGAGAGGCCAAGGGCCAAGCUCAGGUAAUUAGCUCACCUGUAAAUUGUAAUUCUCAAUUUGCUUUUGCUUCUUUCUUCUGUUUCCUUUUAGAUUGAUGUGGGAUGUUUUGUAUUGGAUAAUUUUGGAUUUAACAGGAGAAGGCCGGUGGGAUGAUGGAUAAGGCUAACAAUGCAGCCCAGUCUACCAAGGAGACAAUGCAAGAUGUUGGUCAGAAUGUGCAGGCGAAGGCUCAAGGAGCUGCUGACGCAGUCAAGAAUGCCACUGGCAUGAACAAAUGAAGCUGCUCAUGAUGAUCAUUUUCAUGACUUUUAAUGACUUUAUAGGGUUAAGAUGAUGGCAAACUUUCAUUGAGUUUUAUAGACUUUUAUGUAAUUUUUUUUUCUUUCUUAUCCUUCUUUUGAAAGAAGGAAUUGAAAAUUGCAUAGAAUUCUAAAAUGAUGGAAUUUAGAUCUCCAUCAUUUUAAGUUACGGAAAUUAAUAAUUUCAGUGUUCGGAUUUAUGUAUGUCGAAUUUUGCAAAUGAAAUUUCAAGGAAAAACAAAUUCCUUCACUCAAUAGAAAUUGUGAAUGAUGUCUCUUUUGAUUGAAAUUAAACUCAAAAAUCUUGAGUGCUUAACUUUCGUGCUAAAGUAGCCAAACAAUGAAAAUAUUAAAUUCUAUGCUUCAGUUCUUAACUUUUAGCUAAAUAAUUAACGUAUGGUAAUAGCAGUAUGUAGUAUGACCAAAAGAAAACGAAUUCUAAUAUUAUCUUUUGAUCACGAUGAACUAACUCAUGAGAUCUAUAUAAACAAAAUAAUUAUUCAUGUAGAGAUUUGAUGAAUAUCAAUUAUGAAUUCGUUGGGUUAGAGACUUUUUCACCUCAGAUUUCUAAAGGUCUCAUUCUGGGCCUCGGUGCCUUAUGGCUUUUUGAAAUAUCCACCAAGUUGACCAAACACAUUAAAAUACACUCAAGUCAAGAGAACCAAACUAACACAAAAAUACAUAAUGUAAAUGAACUUGGGGUAACUAUCAAGUAGAAAUUUUUUUAUAGAGCCAGUGUAUGCAUUAUUUUCCUCGUUAUAAGUGUUCACAUAACUAAGCACGUGAAAGAAUGUAGCGUGCAUGAAAGAGCUGGUGUAUGCAUUAUUUUUCUCACAAUAAGUGGUCACAUAACUAAGCACGUGAAAGAAUAUAGCGUGCAUGAUGAUGUAUAAAACUCGUUACACGUAAGAUUUUUUGAGGUUAAAGAUAAAAUGAACACUUGUCCAGAAACUGAAGGACAAUAUUGCUUUUAACUCAUGUGGAGGAUAACCCAACAAGUUUAUUGGCAUUUACACAUAAGAUGUUCUGGCCUUUCAAUCAAAUAAUAAUAUCUUGUGGAUUAUGGAACAGUCUUGUGAAUUGUAAUUAAUUGAUAAUUUAAUCCAAUAUUACGAGAAUUCCAUAAUGCUAAAAAAAGUAAUUUUCAUUCACAAAACUGUCCAAGAAACCCUCAGAAUAGCAACUUUUAAGACUCAACAGCCUUCCUGGUCAAACGGCUCACCCUAAGUUAUAGGCGACACGUGUUAUGGCCCAAAACCAUGACCAGGAUGAAAUGUGUGCAUGACAUCACACAUGUCGAGCAUUCAGUUGGUCUAAAAUCGUAUAUAAACCAUACCCAAUUGUGAGAUAUUCAUCAUCAGCAAAUCAAAUUUGAGUUAUAACAACUUCAUCUGAAUUUCAAGUGUUUUCAAGAAAACAAAGCAAGAAGAAAAUGGCUGACAACUCUCAGAAGAUGAGCUACCACGCUGGAGAGGCCAAAGGCCAAGCUCAGGUAAUUAGCUCACCUGUAAAUUGUAAUUCUCAAUUUGCUUUUGCUUCUUUCUUCUGUUUUCUUUUAGAUUGAUGUGGGAUGUUUUGUAUUGGAUAAUUUUGGAUUUAACAGGAGAAGGCCAGUGGGAUGAUGGAUAAGGCUAACAAUGCAGCCCAGUCUACCAAGGAGACAAUGCAAAAUGUUGGUCAGAAUGUGCAGGCGAAGGCUCAAGGAGCUGCUGAUACAGUCAAGAAUGCCACUGGCAUGAACAAAUGAAGCUGCUCAUGAUGAUCAUUUUCAUGACUUUUAAUGACUUUAUAGGGUUAAGAUGAUGGCAAACUUUCAUUGAGUUUUAUAGACUUUUAUGUAAUUUUUUUUUCUUUCUUAUCCUUCUUUUGAAAGAAGGAAUUGAAAAUUGCAUAGAAUUCUAAAAUGAUGGAAUUUAGAUCUUCAUCAUUUUCAGUUAUGGCAAUUAAUAAUUUUAGGAUUCGAAUUUAUGUAUAUCGAAUUUUGCAAAUGAAAUUUCAUGGAAAAACGAAUUCCUUCACUCAAUAGAAAUUGUGAAAUGAUGUCUAUUUUGAAUGAAAUUAAACUCAGAAAUAUUGAGUGCUUAACUUUCGUGCUAAAGUAGCCAAACAAUGGAAAUAUCAAAUUCUACACUUCAAUUCCUAACUUUUAGGUAAAUAAUUAAUGGGUAAUAGAAGUAUGUAGUAUGACCAAAAGAAAACGAAUUCUAAUAUUAUCUUUUGAUUAUGAUGAAUUAACUCAUGAGAUCUAUAUAACCAAAAUAAUUAUUCAUGUAGAGAUUGAUGAAUAUCAAUUAUGAAUUCGUUGGGUUUGAGACUAUUUCAUCUCUUAUUUCUAAAAGUCUUUGGGUUUGAGACUAUUUCAUAUAUCUCUUAUUUCUAAAGGUCUCAUUCUAGGCCUGGGUGCCUUAGAGCUUUUUGAAAUAUCCACCAGUUGACCAAACCAUAGUCUGAAAUAUCGAUAAUAUCGAGGAAAUAUCGAGGAUAUUUCGGUUUUUUCGAACCACGGAUAUUUCGGAACAUAUCCAUGUACAUAUCGUAUAAAUAUCGACAAUAUCGACGAUAAUAUCGGAAAAUAUCAAUGUCGAUAAUUUCGCUUACAUUUCAGCAAUAUAUUGUCAAAAUAUCGCUAAAAUAUCGAAAAUAUCGAUGUGAAGGAAAAAAAAAAGGGAAAAAGGGGAGAAAAAAGCACAAAGGGGAUAUGAACCCCUCCCAUUUUACUCCUCCAACACCUUAAACACCAUAUCACUUAUGUUUUUGUGAUAAUAUGCUAAAAUAUUUAUAUUUAUAUGGGUGGUAUGUUAACAAUUACAUGCAAAACUAUUUUGGGGAUUUAUCAUUUGAUGACUACUCUUCACAAUACACUUACUCUACACAUAGAGAUGAUGAAGAUAGUGAAAAAUUUGAACCUCGUAGGAACUCUAUGUGGUACUAAGUCACUCAUGUAUCUUACCAUGCAAUGUAUAAAGUGUAAAAUAUUAUAGUAAAUCAUUAUAUAUAAAUGAUUACGGUGUAUUUAAUCUUUUUUCAUUAAUUAUUACAUAUUUUUUACACUCAUAGUGUUUGCCCGCUUGCUGUAUAAUCAACUUAAAUUAGUUAAAUCCAUCAUGCAAUGCAUUUCCUUCUAAUUUUUUGUGAUAAACUCAUAGAUAAUUGACUAAAUAAACAUUCUCCAAAAUUUCAAUUAAAAUUUCCAAGUUUUUCUUACAAUUUCUGUGAUCUUUAUUCAAUUUUUAUCGAUAUCGAUAAUAUCCCGAUAUUUCCAUCGAAAUUUCCAUAUUUUUGGAUUACCGAUAUUUCCGAUAUCAUCGAUAUUUUAGACCUUGGACCAAACACAUUAAAAUGCACUCAACUCAAGAAACAAGACUCCAUAAAUCAGAAACACAAUAGAACCAAACUAACACAAAAAUACAUAAUGUGAAGGAACUUGGGGUAACUAUCAAGUAGAAAAAUUUAUAUAGAGCUUUUGUAUGCCUUAUUUUCAUCAUAAUAAGUGUUCACAUAACUAAGCACACGAAAGAAUGUAGCGUGUAUGAAAGAGCUAGAGUAUGCAUUAUUUUUCUCAUAAUAAGUGGUCACAUAACUAAGCAUAGGAAAGAAUAUAGCAUGCAUGAUGAUGUAUAAAACUCGUUACAUGUAAGAUUUUUUGUGUUAAAGACAAAAUGCACAAUUUCCUAGAAACUGAAGGAUAAUAUCGCUUUUCACUCAUGUGGAGGAUAACCCAACAAGUUUAUUAGCAUUUACUCAUAAGAUGUUCUGGCCUUUCAAUCAAAUAAAAAUAUCUCGUGGAUUGUGGAAUAGUCUUGUGAAUUGUAAUUAAUUGAUAAUAUAAUCCAAUAUUCCAAGAAUUCCAUAAUGCUGAAAAAAAUAAUUUCCAUCCACAAAACUGUCUAAGAAACCCUCAGAAUAGCAACUUUUAAGGCUCAACAGCCUUCCUGGUCAAAAGGCUCACCCUAAGUUAUUGGGCGACACAUGUUAUGGUCCAAAACCAUGACCAGGAUGAAAUGUGUGCAUGACAUCACACAUGUCGAGCAUUAAGCUAGUCUAAAAUCGUAUAUAAACCAUACCCAAUUGUGAGAGAUUCAUCAUCAGCCAAUCGAAUUUGAGUUAUAACAACUUCAUCGGAAUUUCAAGUGUUUUCAAGAAAACAAAGCAAGAAGAAAAUGGCUGACAACUCUCAAAAGAUGAGCUACCAUGUUGGAGAGGCCAAGGGCCAAGCUCAGGUAAUUAGCUCACCUGUAAAUUGUAAUUCUCCAUUUGUUUUUGCUUCUUUCUUUUUUUUUCUUUUAGAUUAAAGUGGGUUGUUUUGUAUUGGAUAAUUUUGGAUUUAACAGGAAAAGGUCGGUGGGAUGAUGGAUAAGGCUAACAAUGCAGCCCAAUCUACCAAGGAGACAAUGCAAGAUGUUGGUCAGAAUGUGCAGGCGAAGGCUCCAGGAGCUGCUGAUGCAGUCAAGAAUGCCACUGGCAUGAACAAAUGAAGCUGCUCAUGAUGAUUAUUUUCAUGACUUUUAAUGACUUUAUAGAGUUAAGAUGAUGGCAGACUUUCAUUUAGUUUUAUAGACUUUUAUGUCUAUUUUUUUUUUCUUUCUUAUCCUUCUUUUGAAAGAAGGAAUUGAAAAUUGCAUAGAAUUAUAAAAUAAUGGAAUUUAGAUCUUCAUCAUUUUAAGUUAUGGCAAUUAAUAAUUUUAGGGUUCAAAUUUAUGUAUAUCGAAUUUUGCAAAUGAAAAAUGAAAUUUCAGGAUAAAACGAAUUCCUUCACUCAAUAGUGAAAAUGAUGUCUCUUUUGAAUGAAAUUAAACUUGGAAAUAUUGAGUGCUUAACUUUCGUGCUAAAGUAGCCAAACAAUGGAAAUAUCAAAUUCUACUCUUCAAUUCUUAACUUUUAGCUAAAUAAUUAACGUAGGGUAAUAGCAGUAUGUAGUAUGACCAAAAGAAAACGAAUUCUAAUAUUAUCUUUUGAUCAUGAUGAAUUAACUCAUGAGAUCUAUAUAACCAAAGUAAUUAUUCAUGUAGAGAUUGAUGAAUAUCAAUUAUGAAUUCAUUGGGUUUGAGACUAUUUCAUCUCUGAUUUCUAAAGGUCUCAUUCUGGGCCUGGGUGCCUUAGGGCUUUUUGAAAUAUCCACCAGUUGACCAAACACAUUAAAAUGCACUCAAGACAAGAAGCAAGACUCCAUAAAUCAAAAAUACAAGAGAACCAAACUAACACAAAAAUACAGAAUGUGAAGGAACUUGGAGUAACUAUCAAGUAGAAAAAUUUAUAUAGAGCUGGUGUAUGCCUUAUUUUCCUCGUAAUAAGUGUUCACAUAACUAAGCACAUGAAAGAAUGCAGCGUGCAUAAAAGAGCUAGUGUAUGCAUUAUUUUUCUCAUAAUAAGUGGUCACAUAACUAAGCCCAGGAAAGAAUAUAGCGUGCAUGAUGAUGUAUAAAACUCGUUACACAUAAGAUUUUUUGCGGUUAAAGACAAAAUGCACACUUGCCCAUAAACUGAAGGAUAAUAUCGCUUUAAACUCAUGUGGAGGAUAACCCAACAAGUUUAUUAGCAUUUACUCAUAAGAUGUUCUGGCCUUUCAAUCAAAUAAAAAUAUCUCGUGGAUUGUGGAACAGUCUUGUGAAUUGUAAUUAAUUGAUAAUAUAAUCCAAUAUUACAAGAAUUCCAUAAUGCUGAAAAAGUAAUUUCCAUUCACAAAACUAUAUAAGAAACCCUCAGAAUAGCAACUUUUAAGACUCAACAGCCUUCCUGGUCAAAAGGCUCACCCUAAGUUAUUGGGCGACACGUGUUAUGGUCCAAAACCAUGACCAGGAUGAAAUGUGUGCAUGACAUCACACAUGUCGAGCAUUCAUCUAGUCUAAAAUCGUAUAUAAACCAUACCUAAUUGUGAGAGAUUCAUCAUCAUCCAAUCGAAUUUGAGUUAUAACAACUUCAUCUGAAUUUCAAGUGUUUUCAAGAAAACAAAGCAAGAAGAAAAUGGCUGACAACUCUCAAAAGAUGAGUUACCAUGCUGGAGAGGCCAAGGGCCAAGCUCAGGUAAUUAGCUCACCUGUAAAUUGUAAUUCUCCAUUUGUUUUUGCUUCUUUUUUUUUUAGAUUAAAGUGGGAUGUUUUGUAUUGGAUAAUUUUGGAUUUAACAGGAAAAGGCCGGUGGGAUGAUGGAUAAGGCUAACAAUGCAGCCCAAUCUACCAAGGAGACAAUGCAAGAUGUUGGUCAAAAUGUGCAGGCAAAGGCUCAAGGAGCAGCUGAUGCAGUCAAGAAUGCCACUGGCAUGAACAAAUGAAGCUGCUCAUGAUGAGCAUUUUCAUGACUUUUAAUGACUUUAUAGAGUUAAGAUGAUGGCAAACUUUCAUUGAGUUUUAUAGACUUUUAUGUAAUUUUUUUUUCUUUCUUACCCUUCUUUUGAAAGAAGGAACUGAAAAUUUCAUAGAAUUCUAAAAUGAUGGAAUUUAGAUCUCCAUCAUUUUAAGUUACGGCAAUUAAUAAUUUUAGUGUUUGGAUUUAUGUAUAUCGAAUUUUAGAAAUAAAGUUUCACGGAAUAACGAAUUCCUUCACUCAAUAGAAAUUGUGAAAUGACUUCUCUUUUUAUUGAAAGUAAACCCAGAAAUCUUGAGUGCUUGACUUUCGUGCUAAAGUAGCCAAACAAUGAAAAUAUUAAAUUCUACUAUUCAAUUCUUAACUUUUAGCUAAAUAAUUAACGUAUGGUAAUAGAAGUAUGUAGUAUAUGACCAAAAGCAAAUUAAAUUUGAGUUAUAACAACUUCAUCUGAAUUUCAAGUGUUUUCAAGAAAACAAAGCAAGAAGAAAAUGGCUGACAACUCUCAAAAGAUGAGCUACCAUGUUGGAGAGGCCAAGGGUCAAGCUCAAGUAAUUAGCUCACCUGUAAAUUGUAAUUUUCCAUUUUAUUUUUGCUUCUUUUUUUUGAUUUUUUUAGAUUAAUGUGGGAUGUUUUGUAUUGGAUAAUUUUGGAUUUAACAGGAGAAGGCCGGUGGGAUGAUGGAUAAGGCUAACAAUGCAGCCCAAUCUACCAAGGAGACAAUGCAAGAUGUUGGUCAAAAUGUGCAGGCGAAGGCUCAAGGGGCUGCUGAUGCAGUCAAGAAUGCCACUGGCAUGAACAAAUGAAGCUGCUCAUGAUGAUCAUUUUCAUGACUUUUAAUGACUUUGUAGAGUUAAGAUGAUGGCAAACUUUCAUUGAGUUUUAUAGACUUUUAUGUAAUUUUUUCUUUCUUUCUUACCCUUCUUUUGAAAGAAGGAAUUUAAAAUUGCAUAGAAUUCCAAAAUGAUGGAAUUUAGAUCUCCAUCAUUUUAAGUUACGGCAAUUAAUAAUUUUAGUGUUUGGAUUUAUGUAUAUCGAAUUUUAGAAAUAAAGUUUCACGGAAUAACGAAUUCCUUCACUCAAUAGAAAUUGUGAAAUGACUUCUCUUUUUAUUGAAAGUAAACCCAGAAAUCUUGAGUGCUUGACUUUCGUGCUAAAGUAGCCAAACAAUGAAAAUAUUAAAUUCUACUAUUCAAUUCUUAACUUUUAGCUAAAUAAUUAACGUAUGGUAAUAGAAGUAUGUAGUAUAUGACCAAAAGAAAACGAAUUCUGAUAUUAUCUUUUGAUCAUGAUGAAUUAACCCAUGAGAUCUAUAUAACCAAAAUAAUUAUUCAUGUAGAGAUUGAUGAAUAUCAAUUAUGAAUUCGUUGGGUUUGAGACUAUUUCAUCUCUUAUUUCUAAAGGUCUCAUUCUCGGCCUGGGUGCCUUAGAGCUUUUUGAAAUAUCCACCAGUUGACCAAACACAUUAAAAUGCACUCAAGUCAAGAAACAAGACUCCGUAAAUCAGAAAUACAAGAGAACCAAACACGCACAAAAAUACAUAAUGUGAAUGAACUUGGGGUAACUAUCAAGUAGAAAAUUUUAUAUAAAGCCGGUGUAUGCCUUAUUUUCCUCGUAAUAAGUGUUCACAUAACUAAGCACGUGAAAGAAUGUAGCGUGCAUGAAAGAGUUGGUGUAUGCAUUAUUUUUCUCGUAAUAAGUGGUCACAUAACUAAGCACGUGAAAGAAUAUAACGUGCAUGAUGAUGUAUAAAACUCGUUACACGUAAGAUUUUUUGUGGUUAAAGAUAAAAUACUUGUCCAGAAACUUUGGGACAAUAUCGCUUUUAACUCAUGUGGAGGUUAACCCAACAAGUUUAUUAGCAUUUACUCAUUAAUUAGAUGUUCUGGCCUUUCAAUCAAAUAAUAAUAUCUUGUGGCUUAUGGAACAAUCUUGUGAAUUGUAAUUAAUUGAUAAUAUAAUCCAAUAUUACAAGAAUUUCAUAAUGCUGAAAAAAGUAAUUUCCAUUCAAAAAAACUGUCUAAGAAACCCUCAGAAUAGCAACUUGGAAGACUCAACAGCCUUCCUGGUCAGAAGGCUCACCCUAAGUUAUAGGGCGACACGUGUUAUGGUCCAAAACCAUGACCAGGAUGAAAUGUGUGCCUGGCAUCACACAUGUCGAGCGUUCAACUGGUCUAAAAUCGUAUAUAAGCCAUACCCAAUUGUGAGAUAUUCAUCAUUAGCAAACCAAAUUUGAGGUAUAAAACAUCAUUUGAAUUUCAAGUGUUUUCAAGAAAACAAAGCAAGAAGAAAAUGGCUGACAACUCUCAGAAGAUGAGCUACCACGCUGGUGAGGCCAAGGGCCAAGCUCAGGUAAUUAGAUCAUGUGUAAUUCUCCAUUUGUUUUUGCUUAUUUCUUCUACUUUCUUUUAAAUAUUACAUUAUUAUAUGUGAAUGUGCAUUGAGAUUGAUGUGGGGUGUUUUGUAUUGGAUACUUUUGGAUUUAACAGGAGAAGGCUAGUGGGAUGAUGGAUAAGGCUAACAAUGCAGCCCAAUCUACCAAGGAGACAAUGCAAGAUGUUGGUCAGAAUGUGCAGGCGAAGGCUCAAGGAGCUGCUGAUGCAGUCAAGAAUGCAACUGGCAUGAACAAAUGA
rnacentral:lncRNA from 1 species